CGGGGCGUGGCGCAGCCUGGAUAGCGCGCUAGCAUGGGGGGCUAGAGGUCGAGGGUUCGAAUCCCUCCGCCCCGACCA
rnacentral:tRNA from 1 species